rnacentral:rRNA from 1 species
AUACGGAGGGUGCAAGCGUUAAUCGGAUUUACUGGGCGUAAAGCGCGCGUAGGUGGUUUGAUCAGUCGGAUGUGAAAGCCCAGGGCUCAACCUUGGAAUUGCAUUCGAUACUGUCAGACUAGAGUUUAGUAGAGGAAGGUGGAAUUCCAGGUGUAGCGGUGAAAUGCGUAGAUAUCUGGAGGAAUACCAGUGGCGAAGGCGGCCUUCUGGACUAAAACUGACACUGAGGUGCGAAAGCGUGGGGAGCAAACAGGAUUAGAAACCCGGGUAGUCC